GUGCUCACUUCAGCAGCACAUAUACUAAAGUUGGAACAAUACAGAGAUUAGCAUGACCCAUGCACAAGGACGACAUGUAAAUUCGUGAAGCGUUCCAUAUUAAA